UUCGCAAGUUAGACCGUUGACGAAGUACGACUCGCCUGCGAGCGAGAGAUGAGAGCUUAAAGAAAUAUCUAGAUAUUUUCUAGGAUAUUAUUAUAUUAAGGUUUGUGAGAGGAAGAUCCAAGGGGUAGGAUUUUAUCUUAGAAACUUUAACAAUUUGAUCCAAUGGUUAGAAAUUGAUUAGAGAAACUACUUAAGGAAAAGUAUAGAUCAAAAAUAACAUUUUUUCUCUUUUCUUCCUCUUCCAAAACCGUGACCUACUCUCCCUCCCUCUCUUUCAUUUUAUUUAUUUUUCUAAGUGUUCAUACAACACAAAUCUCCACCUUAAGAAAAAUCUAGAAGGAAUUAGGAAGAAAGCUUGGAACCAAAGUUGAUCCCCUCUCCUUGGUGGUGCUUGUGAACUAAGUUUUAUGGGUUAAGAGAAUUAGCCGGAUUGGAGAUUUCGUCGAGAGAGACGGGUUUGCUCGUGUAGCGUAAGUUGAUUGUGUUGGAAGCUUGCCGAGACGAUGGAUUCCUGUCCGAGACCGUGGGUCGUGAGGACGAUGGUGGCUUCUUGAGCCCUCAGUGGUCGAGUGGCGUGGCGGAUCUAUUUAGAUUGUGUGCCGGUGUGUCUUGUACACCGUGCUUUUGGUUAGGUGUAGUAUUUUGACUCUUUUGGAUAAACUGUUUCUGAGUAUUUAUACUUUGGUUUAGACGGUUGUCUUUUGGAUUGUAAAUAUUCAGGUACACACUUUGCUUCUCGAAAGCACUCCUAUGUAUGAUUAGUACUAUGCCGAUGCUUGGGUUGUACUAAUAUAUAAUUAGUCCUGUUGUAUGAUUAAUGCCGGCUCGUCACAAAAAUGUAUGCGCGCUCUGUUUUGUUUU